UGGGGAAUAUUGCACAAUGGGGGAAACCCUGAUGCAGCGACGCCGCGUGAGCGAUGAAGUAUUUCGGUAUGUAAAGCUCUAUCAGCAGGGAAGAAAAUGACGGUACCUGACUAAGAAGCACCGGCUAAAUACGUGCCAGCAGCCGCGGUAAUACGUAUGGUGCAAGCGUUAUCCGGAUUUACUGGGUGUAAAGGGAGCGUAGACGGAUGGGCAAGUCUGAUGUGAAAAAGCCCCGGGGGACUCAAACCCCCGGGGCACUGCAUUGGAAACUGUUCAUCUAGAGUGCUGAAGAGGUAAGUGGAAUUCCUAGUGUAGCGGUGAAAUGCGUAGAUAUUAGGAGGAACACCAGUGGCGAAGGCGGCUUACUGGACAGUAACUGACGUUGAGGCUCGAAAGCGUGGGGAGCAAACAGGAUUAGAUACCC
rnacentral:rRNA from 1 species